rnacentral:tRNA from 1 species
AGGCGGUUAGCUCAGUUGGUUAGAGCGCUACGUUGACAUCGUAGAGGUCGUUGGUUCAAUUCCAAUACCGCCUACCA